rnacentral:rRNA from 1 species
UACGUAGGUGGCAAGCGUUGUCCGGAUUUACUGGGCGUAAAGAGCGCGCAGGCGGUUCAUCAAGUCGAAUGUGAAAGCCCCCGGCUCAACUGGGGAGGGUCAUUCGAUACUGCUGGACUUGAAGGCAGGAGAGGGAAGUGGAAUUCCCGGUGUAGUGGUGAAAUGCGUAGAGAUGUGGAGGAAUACCGAUGGCGAAGGCAGCCCCCUGGGAUAACACUGACGCUCAUGCACGAAAGCGUGGGGAGCAAACAGG